rnacentral:rRNA from 1 species
UACGUAGGGUGCAAGCGUUGUCCGGAAUUAUUGGGCGUAAAGAGCUCGUAGGCGGUCUGUCGCGUCCGUUGUGAAAACUCGAGGCCUCAACCUCGGGCUUGCAGUGGAUACGGGCAGACUAGAGUGCGGUAGGGGAGACUGGAAUUCCUGGUGUAGCGGUGGAAUGCGCAGAUAUCAGGAGGAACACCGAUGGCGAAGGCAGGUCUCUGGGCCGCAACUGACGCUGAGGAGCGAAAGCAUGGGGAGCGAACAGG